rnacentral:rRNA from 1 species
AUUGAACGCUGGCGGCAGGCCUAACACAUGCAAGUCGAACGAGUGGCGGACGGGUGAGUAAUGUCUGGGAAACUGCCCGAUGGAGGGGGAUAACUACUGGAAACGGUAGCUAAUACCGCAUACCAUCGGAUGUGCCCAGAUGGGAUUAGCUUGUAGGUGAGGUAACGGCUCACCUAGGCGACGAUCCCUAGCUGGUCUGAGAGGAUGACCCGCGGCACGUGAAAUGAGACACGGGCCAGACUCCUAAGGUAGGCAGAAGUGGGGAAUAGUGCACAAUGGGCGCAAGGCGGAGGCAGCCAUGCCGCGUGUAUGAAGAAGGCCUUCGGGUUGUAAAGUAAUUUCAGCGGGGAGGCUUUACCCGCAGAAGAAGCACCGGCUAAAUCCGUGCCAGCAGCCGCGGUAAUAC